CACGUAGGGGGCGAGCGUUGUCCGGAAUCACUGGGCGUAAAGAGCACGUAGGCGGAUUAUUAAGUCAGAUGUGAAAACUCUGGGCUCAACCUAGAGACUGCAUCUGAAACUGGUAGUCUUGAGUAUAGAAGAGGAGAGUGGAAUUCCUAGUGUAGCGGUGAAAUGCGUAGAUAUUAGGAGGAACACCAGUGGCGAAGGCGACUCUCUGGUCUAUAACUGACGCUGAGGUGCGAAAGCGUGGGGAGCAAACAGG
rnacentral:rRNA from 1 species